AGCGGAGUGGCGGAAGCGCGGUUGGCUCAUAACCCACAGGUCCCAGGAUCGAAACCUGGCUCCGCUA